UACGUAGGGGGCAAGCGUUGUCCGGAUUUAUUGGGCGUAAAGCGCACGUAGGCGGUUCGUUAUGUCGGAUGUGAAAGCCCUUGGCUUAACCGAGGAAGUGCAUCCGAAACUGGCGAGCUAGAGUACUAAAGAGGAUCGCGGAAUUCCCGGUGUAGAGGUGAAAUUCGUAGAUAUCGGGAGGAACACCGGUGGCGAAGGCGGCGAUCUGGGCCUUACCUGACGCUGAGGAGCGAAAGCGUGGGGAGCGAACAGG
rnacentral:rRNA from 1 species